UAUAAAAGAACUGAGAUCAUAGGCUGAUGGUGCCUGAGCUUCACGCUCGCAGGGAAGAGCUACUGCGCCGCUGGGUUUGUUUGUUAUAUAGCUCUCUGUACAACAAGAUUGGGAGUUGAUGAGUGCUGCAAAAAGCAGCAAGAAAUACCCCUAGCAAAUUAACAGAAAUGGGGACAGAGGAGAAAGAAAAGUACUUCCAAAGAGGACACCUCACAGCCUCUGACCCUUGCUGUAGGAACAAGCUGCACUGGGGGAAGGAAAUGAAGCUAGCAGUUCAGCAGAAGGAUCCUCUCCCAGAGGAGUCAGAAGAUGAGACACACUGGGAGGAAGCCAUGCCCAGGGCUGAGGUCCAGGAGCUGUCCUACAGUGUUUAAGAGAAGGGGCAGAAAGUAGCUGAUGGGACUUGUGGACUGCUCCUUUGAUGUUUGAGGCAUGGAAAGUGGAGUAAUGGCAUGGGAGAGGUACUAAAUGGGAACAGGAAUCUACAAAAAGAGUGUGCUAACAGGGAGAGGAGAAUACAUAGGCUAGUGCUCUCUUACAUUAAUGACACAGAAUCAUAGAAAUGUAGGUCGGGAAGGGACUGCGUUAGGUCAUCUAGUCCAGCCUCCUCCACUGAGGCAGAACCAUCUACAUGUCUACAUAGACAUAGACCAUCCCUGACAAGGGUUUGUCCAACCUGUUCUUAAAAACCUCCAGUGACAGGGACUCCACAUCCUCCCUUGGCAACCACUUCCACUUCUUAACUAUCCUUAGAGUUAGUUUUUCCUAAUAUUUAAUGUAAAUCUCCUUUGGUGAAGAUUAAGCCAAUUACUACUCAUUCUACCUUCACUGGACAUAGGUAAGGGAAGCAGCACUUCUCUUGCCAGUACUUUCCUUGCCCGGAAACUGCCUCUAGCCUUGGUACUUCCCCUUCUUCCAGGUUUUAAAGAGGACUCUGGUCCUGUCAAGCUCCCAACUGCUGAAUGUGGGCUGUAGUAGCAACUGUGGUUUGCAACCACCUGCUCCCUCUACAACAUGUGUUUUGUGGCCAAUAGCCCAUAUGUGCCCUUGGGCUGCCUACCACCCCUUAACACAUCUACAGUGGGCUGGCUGGGAGCUAAGAUUAAUGAUGAGCAAGGAGCUGCCAAGUCCCUUGUAGCCUCUCCCUGGCUUCUCAUAGACUGAUUGCACAUGUUGGACAGAGAGGAAUGGGAGAGGAGCAGGGUUUCACCCUAAGGGAAUGAGGAUUUUUUUUUUAAAUGUAUAUACAGCGGAGUCACAUCAUAGGCACAUUCAACUUAUGCAAGUUUAACUAUACGUGCUUGGCAAAACAAAACAAAAAAGAGAAAAACAACAAUUUAAAUACUGUACCUGUGGUGCAGGCGAUUCCGCCCACCAGUCCACUCAAUGAGCAUUUGACUAGACGCUAUUUUCGUCUUCCGCACUGACUUUAGAACCUAACCCCCGCGUAAGAUGCGACUCCCCUGUAUAGCACUCAUAAGGGAAUGUCGGGCUUAGAUUGAUCUGUGCACUGUCCCUUUAAUGAUUAGUAGUCCACAGAGGGGGUCAAAGGGGACAGUUCUAGGGAAUAGGGUGUGGUAAUAGCAGCAGAGUAAGGUAUGCUGGGAGGGAUUCAGAAGCAGAGGGCCUUGUGCAAGCUGUAUGUAUUUGUUUUGGGAUUCUAAGUUGAAUAAAACCCCACUUUUAAACUA